GAUGAACGCUGGCGGCGUGCCUAAUACAUGCAAGUCGAGCGAACGGACGAGAAGCUUGCGUCUCUGAUGUUAGCGGCGGACGGGUGAGUAACACGUGGAUAACCUACCUAUAAGACUGGGAUAACUUCGGGAAACCGGAGCUAAUACCGGAUAAUAUUUUGAACCGCAUGGUUCAAAAGUGAAAGACGGUCUUGCCGUCACUUAUAGAUGGAUCCGCGCUGCAUUAGCUAGUUGGUAAGGUAACGGCUUACCAAGGCAACGAAGCAUAGCCGACCUGAGAGGGUGAUCGGCCAACGUGGACCUGGGACACGGUCCAGAGUCCUACGGGAGGCAGCAGUAGGGAAUCUUCCGCAAUGGGCGAAAGCCUGACGGAGCAACGCCGCGUGAGUGACGAAGGUCUUCGGAUCGUAAAACUCUGUUAUUAGGGAAGAACAUAUGUGUAAGUAACUGUGCACAGCUUGACGGUACCUAAUCAGAAAGCCACGGCUAA
rnacentral:rRNA from 1 species